CCAGAAGGUCUGUUGGUUUACUGGAAAGUUGGGCAGUUUCUUGUUUGUGAACAAGUUUGUGCUGCAGGAGCUAUCUCAGGUGCAUGACAUUUAUUACAGGCAGCGUCUAGUCGGUGAGCUUGGUACUUCAAAAUGAAAGUUUACAUCAGAAUUGUACAAUGCUUGUAUACUUCAGUGAACAGCCAAUGAGAGCUGAAGGGGUGGCACCUGUGGAUGGGGCAGCGCACUGAGCUGCCUGGCCAUGCCUCUAUAUAGGAGCCAGAGGGGGGACAUGCCAUUGCUUCUGGGAGAUGCGUGAGGGUCCGUGAUCGCACGGGGACUACAAAGCUGGACACAAAUCAGAAGUAGAAAAUUCAUCAUUAUCUGGUGUUCAUAAGGGAAUCCCAAUGGAAAUGAAGGAGGAGAAAAACCUCCUCUGCUCUGCUUGCUCUGAGACUGGGUAAGAGAAUAACAGAAGACCAAGAGGAGAGAGAUGAAGUAUCUGCACGCAAGAGGCUGAAAAUGUAUGUUCCUAUGCUAUUGCUAGUGUAAACAGAACAGCCCACAGAAGGACCACACACUAAAGCCUUGAUGCUGAAGGAUUUUUAUGUUUAUCUUUUCUUUUAAUAGAGCAGCCUAAUGACUGAAUUACAGGAGGAUAGUAUCUUUCAAAAUUAAGACUGAAGGGCCUCAGGAUAUUGGGCUAAAGCCCCAGAUUGAAAAACUGUUAAAUUUUUAGGGACAGAUCUUCCCUGUCACAUGCCAGCUGAUCUUCCCUGGGGGAGGCGUGGGAGUUUCAGACUCUGAACCCAGAUCCAAGUUAAAGUUUAGCAGCUAGAUCUUCUCGCCAUAAUGAGCCAAACCACAGAAAAUACAGAGAUAUUAAUCAUAAUCUGCAUCUGACUUUUGCAGCUCAGACCCAUCUCUAACGAGGAACAGAUGUAAAAGAAAUAGGAAUUGACUGUUAACAAAGCAACAAUAUACAUUUCCUAGUCUUUGUGUUACCUGCUGUCAUGAAGCUAUCACGGCCUGCCAGAGACCCAUAAAAGAACUCGGAGACCUGAUCCUUUUUUCAUCUCAAGUCUGUUUGAGUUUUACCAGAGGAAGUUUGAGUCACAAGUCUGAGAUCUUCGGUUCCAGUCUAGAUUAUUUCUCAUGGAAGAAUUUAAAUAGACUCUGCAUCUUCUUUUGCUCUCGGACUCCUGUGAUGGACUGCCUAUCGAACUGUAACCUAUGGAAUUGAUUCUGGAAAAGCUUUCUACAAAUCAGCAGCUCACUAGCUCUACUGUGUAACUGACCUAAGAACUUUAUGCAUAGCUGCACGUAUA